rnacentral:sRNA from 1 species
UUGAGCCCUGAAGGCUUCUGUUUAUCCACAGCACAGGUACAGCCCACACGUCAGCACUUCCACAACCCUGUUGCUGCAUCUCAUUCUUGAGCUGGAGGGUUCACCUCACUGCAAGAGGAUGUAGUUCUGUCUUCAUGCCCAUUCAGUCCUUGGCCUCU